rnacentral:rRNA from 1 species
UACAGAGGGUGCAAGCGUUAAUCGGAAUUCCUGGGCGUAAAGCGCACGCAGGCGGUUGGUUAAGUCAGAUGUGAAAGCCCCGGGCUCAACCUGGGAAUUGCAUUUGAAACUGGCCAACUAGAGUAUGCGAGAGGGGGGUAGAAUUCCAAGUGUAGCGGUGAAAUGCGUAGAGAUUUGGAGGAAUACCAGUGGCGAAGGCGGCCCCCUGGCACAAUACUGACGCUGAGGUGCGAAAGCGUGGGGAGCAAACAGG